GUCACUCCUAUCAACAUCCACAAGAUUCUCCUGAAAGUGUAGAAUAAUCCCACUAGCUAUGGCACAGCUAGGAUACACUGUUCCCUACAAAUCGAGUCGAGGUUGCGAUUUGAGGUUAACACGAACUGAAUUUAAUGGCACUCAAGCGGGACAAUUUAUGCAACUUUCAGACCAAGGGACAGCCCCCUUCUGGACCUGAUGGUACACAAGACAAUGACAUAGUUUACCCAAUGGAAACACAGUGCAACAUUUGAAAAUGUCUCCGCCUAGCUUGGAGAUAAUUGGCCUUAUCAGUUACAAUGACCUAAUUAUCUCCAAGCACAUGGAAAUAGUUUAUGCAACCAUUCGCCGGAUAGCUCAGAUCUGAGCGCACAAGAUGUAUGAAUCGCGCUCAGAUCUCACAAACGAUGUGCCAGAGUUCUGAUAUAUGUCUGUACGUACAAUCUUGGGCCGAACGGAUGGGACAACCGUCAUCUUAGCGGGUUUCGUGCAGUUCCAUUGCUGAUUACUGUUCCUGAGAUUUUACUACCCAGUACCGCUGAACCCUUGCUGGCAACAAGAUGGCCACCACCUCGUGUUCGCUAUGUGAAUGGCGAUCACCGCGGGUUAGGUACUUAGCUUGCGGUUAACCACAGAAACCACCACUUAAUUGAGAACACACCCCGGGUACGGGUGGUCGUCGUUCGACAGUUCUUUUGUAUAUUUAGUAAGGUCCUCGUUCAUCUAAUUGAAUAUACGAACGAGGCCACCUGGAUUCCGAUUAAUUAGGCUGCGGUUAACCACAAACCGCAGCUCCUGGCCGGUUAAGUGUUGGCACACUCUGCCGUUAUGGUGGUCGAUCGGUCUUUUGGUGGUUUGAAAGGUGACAGAGGUUAAAUGGAGACACACGACAAGGGCUGGGUGGUCUUCUGUUCGUAUGUACAAAUGGGUAGCACAUUCGUAAAUUGGAGAAUAGGGAUGUAUCUAAA